GAGGUGGGAGGGUUGCUUGAGCCUGGGAGGUCAAGGCUGCAGUGAGCCAUGAUCAAGCCACUGCACUCCAGCCUGAGUGACAGAGCAAGAUCCUGUCUC
rnacentral:miRNA from 1 species